AAACCAACAGGGAUUGCCUUAGUAACGGCGAGUGAAGCGGCAAAAGCUCAAAUUUGAAAUCUGGCACCUUCGGUGUCCGAGUUGUAAUUUGAAGAAGGUAACUUUGGAGUCAGCUCUUGUCUAUGUUCCUUGGAACAGGACGUCACAGAGGGUGAGAAUCCCGUGCGAUGAGAUGUCUGAUUCUAUGUAAAGUGCUUUCGAAGAGUCGAGUUGUUUGGGAAUGCAGCUCUAAGUGGGUGGUAAAUUCCAUCUAAAGCUAAAUAUUGGCGAGAGACCGAUAGCGAACAAGUACAGUGAUGGAAAGAUGAAAAGAACUUUGAAAAGAGAGUGAAAAAGUACGUGAAAUUGUUGAAAGGGAAGGGUUUGAGAUCAGACUUGGUAUUUUGUAUGUCUUGCUUUCGGGUGGGGCCUCUACAGUUUACUGGGCCAGCAUCGGUUUGGACGGUAGGAUAAUGACAUUGGAAUGUGGCACCACNUCGGUGGUGUGUUAUAGACUUUGUUGAUACUGCCUGUCUAGACCGAGGACUGCGUCUUUGACUAGGAUGCUGGCAUAAUGAUCUUAAACCGC
rnacentral:rRNA from 1 species